CUACCACAUCCAAGGAAGGCAGCAGGCGCGCAAAUUACCCACUCCCGGCACGGGGAGGUAGUGACGAAAAAUAACAAUACGGGACUCUUUUGAGACCCCGUAAUUGGAAUGAGUACAUUCUAAAGUCCUUAACGAGGACCCAUUGGAGCAAAAGCCUGGUGCCAGCACGCGCGGUAAAACCAGUUCCAAUAGCUUAUAUUAAAGUUGUUGCGGUUAAAAAGCUCGUAGUUGGAUCUCAGUUCCGGCCGGAAGGUCCGCCCAACGGCGGUAACCGACCGCAGCCGAACAGCCCGCCGGUUCUCCGGGGUGAUCUUCGCCGGUUGCUCCGGGGGCCCGGCACGUUUACUUUGAAAAAAUUAGAGUGCUCAAGGCAGGCUCAUACAGCUUGAACAGUGGUGCAUGGAAUAAUGGAAUAGGACCUCGGUUCUAUUUUGUUGGUCUUCGGAAGACGAGGUAAUGAUUAAGAGGGACAGACGGGGGCAUUCGUACUGCGACGCUAGAGGUGAAAUUCUUGGACCGUCGCAUGACGAACUACUGCGAAAGCAUUUGCCAAGAAUGUUUCCAUUAAUCAAGAACGAAAGUCAGAGGUGCGAAGGCGAUCAGAUACCGCCCUAGUUCUGACCAUAAACGAUGCCAGCCAGCGAUCCGGCUGCGUUCCUCAAAUGACGCGCCGGGCAGCUUCCGGGAAACCAAAGCUUUUGGGUUCCGGGGGAAGUAUGGUU
rnacentral:rRNA from 1 species